GGAGCGGAACCGGGGUGACACCAUCGAGGGAGGAGGGGUUAGGAAUGACGGACUGUGAAGAGAUUCAAGAGGAGAGAAUUAUAAACAGAAUGGGUAGGAUCUGGAAGGGGGGAGAGAUUUGGGCUACUUGGAUGAAGAAGAGGUACAUAGGAAUAAGAGGAUUAGAGACGAUAGAGGAGAAGCGAGGGGAUGCACCUGGGUGAAAGGGAAUGUUAAGAACAGAGGAGAUUAAUAAUUGUAUGAUUUGCGAGUUUAAUUAUUCAUGGCGUUGGAGGGACAGGGGGUCUGUCUCAGAAGAACAUUUAUGAAACUAUUAGGAGGGAGGCGAUUGAUGGGAAGGCGAGGGGUAUAUGGGUGGGGAAAAUUACAAUGAUGUGUCAAUUACUGUGAAAAGUCCAGUCCGAUGAGGGAAAUUACCAAUUCACGACAGAUUGGCGAGACGAGGAGUGAAGGUAGAGGAGGGGUAAUUAAUAAACGGUGGGGCAACAAGACACUUUCGAAACUCUGGAGAACGCAUUAGUGAUUCUCAAAGAGACGCUCUAAACCACGGAAGCAGCUACCAAAGGAGGAAAGUUUAAGAAAAAGUCAACAAUCAGAAGGGAUAAUCAUCGGAAGCACUAAACAAAUUGGAUGUGUAUGUUUUACUUGGAGAAUCAUCGGCAUGAGCUA
rnacentral:lncRNA from 1 species